GACGAACGCUGGCGGCGUGCUUAACACAUGCAAGUCGAACGGAAAGGCCCUGCUUUUGUGGGGUGCUCGAGUGGCGAACGGGUGAGUAACACGUGAGUAACCUGCCCUUGACUUUGGGAUAACUUCAGGAAACUGGGGCUAAUACCGGAUAGGAUCUCCUGCUGCAUGGGGGGGAUUGGAAAGUUUCGGCGGUUGGGGAUGGACUCGCGGCUUAUCAGCUUGUUGGUGGGGUAGUGGCUUACCAAGGCUUUGACGGGUAGCCGGCCUGAGAGGGUGACCGGCCACAUUGGGACUGAGAUACGGCCCAGACUCCUACGGGAGGCAGCAGUGGGGAAUAUUGCACAAUGGGCGGAAGCCUGAUGCAGCAACGCCGCGUGCGGGAUGACGGCCUUCGGGUUGUAAACCGCUUUCGCCUGUGACGAAGCGUGAGUGACGGUAAUGGGUAAAGAAGCACCGGCUAACUACGUG
rnacentral:rRNA from 1 species